GUAUGAACGCGGUCCCCAUGGCUCCUCCCCUCUACGUCGACGUGGCGCCCUGCGCUCGUCCGAAGCGACGGGACCGGAAACCGAGGAUAGUAUCACACAUCAGAAAGACAGAACUGAACCUGCAACCGACUAAAAUACACAUAAACAAGGAAUAACAAUGGUGACUGACGUGCAGCUGGCCAUCUUUGCCAACAUGUUGGGUGUGUCUCUGUUCCUGCUGGUGGUUCUAUAUCACUAUGUAGCCGUCAACAACCCCAAGAAACUGGAGUAGAACUGUUUUUUCCAGAGGGGGAGAGAUGGAGGUGGCUGAAGAGGACCAUCGAGAGUAGCAGUCAGAUGCCAUACCUCUGCUUGCAUUAGUGCUGUCUCAUUCUGUGCAGGUGUUUUCUAAUAAAAGGACUCUACAAACACC